rnacentral:rRNA from 1 species
CGUACUCCCCAGGCGGUCUACUUAUUGCGUUAACUGCGUCACUAAGUCUUUAAAAGACCCAACGACUGGUAGACAUCGUUUACGGCGUGGACUACCAGGGUAUCUAAUCCUGUUUGCUACCCACGCUUUCGCACCUCAGUGUCAGUAUGAUGCCAGGGAGCUGCCUUCGCCAUCGGUAUUCCUCCAGAUCUCUACGCAUUUCACCGCUACACCUGGAAUUCUACUCCCCUCUCACCUACUCUAGUUAUCCAGUAUCAGAUGCAGUUCCCAGGUUAAGCCCGGGGCUUUCACAUCUGACUUAAAUAACCGCCUACGCGCGCUUUACGCCCAGUAAUUCCGAUUAACGCUUGCACCCUCUGUAUUACCGCGGCUGCUGGCACAGAGUUAGCCGGUGCUUAUUCUGUGGGUAACGUCAGGGCUUAUGGGUAUUAACCAUAAGCUUUUCCUCCCCACUUAAAGUGCUUUACAACCAAAAGGCCUUCUUCACACACGCGGCAUGGCUGGAUCAGGCUUUCGCCCAUUGUCCAAUAUUCCCCACUGCUGCCUCCCGUAGGAGUCUGGGCCGUGUCUCAGUCCCAGUGUGGCUGAUCAUCCUCUCAGACCAGCUACAGAUCGUCGCCUUGGUAGGCCUUUACCCCACCAACCAGCUAAUCCGACUUAGGCUCAUCUAAUAGCGAGAGCU